AUACGGAGGGUGCAAGCGUUACUCGGAAUCACUGGGCGUAAAGCGCGCGCAGGCGGUCUUUUAAGUUGGAUGUGAAAGCCUACGGCUCAACCGUAGAACUGCAUCCAAAACUAUUAGACUAGAGAGUGGGAGAGGAAGAUGGAAUUAGUUGUGUAGGAGUAAAAUCCGUAGAGAUAACUAGGAAUACCAAAAGCGAAGGCAAUCUUCUGGAACACUACUGACGCUGAGGCGCGAAAGCGUGGGGAGCAAACAGGAUUAGAUACCCGAGUAGUCC
rnacentral:rRNA from 1 species